rnacentral:rRNA from 1 species
AUGGUUUCCCUGAAGCUGCAGAAGCGGCUCGCCUCGAGCGUGCUCAAGUGCGGCAAGGGCAAGGUCUGGCUCGACCCCAAUGAGGUCAACGAGAUCUCCAUGGCCAACUCUCGCCAGAACAUUCGUAAGUUGGUUAAGGAUGGGUUCAUCAUCAGGAAUCCCCAAAAGAUCCACUCAAGGUCCCGUGCACGCAGAGCCCAUGAGGCAAAACAGAAGGGCCGUCAUUCUGGAUAUGGUAAGCGCAGGGGUACCAGGGAGGCUAGGCUUCCCACCAAGAUUCUGUGGAUGAGGAGGAUGCGCGUGCUCAGGCGGCUGCUCUGCAAGUACCGUGAAGCAAAGAAGAUCGACAAGCACAUGUACUUGAAGGUCAAGGGUAACAUGUUCAAGAACAAGCUUGUGCUUAUGGAAAGCAUUCGCAAGUCAAAGGGUGAGAAGGCAAGAGAGAAGACGCUCUCUGACCAGUUUGAGGCUAAGCGAGUAAGCGUGCCAAGAGCAAGGCAAGCCGUGAAAGGAAGAUUGCCAGGAGGGAGGAGAGGCUUGCUCAGGGCCCAAGGGACCACUCCGCACCUGCUGCAGCAGCAGCAGCUCCUGCCCAACCUGCAGCGGCACCAAAGAAGGCAAAGAAGUGAAGAUCUGACGAUUAAGCGUUCUGUUUACUGGGUGAAAUCAGUUUGUUCUUAG